UCGGACUAUAAAGUCUUGUACCUGAUUAUUAUUAGAUUAUUUUCUUGAAAAUUAAAAAAUUUGGCGGUAUCUCAGUCCAUUCAGAGGAAUCUGUCCCGUAAUUGAUAGUCCACGAUUUUAUCAAUUUCUUCUUUUAGUUUGCAUAUCGUCGUGUUUGAAUAUUUCAUUAGAAUUUAAAUGUUCAAUUAGUUUUAUAAGAAGUAAUGUCAGAUCAAGGUGCAGCUUAUGGGGAAGUGGAGAUGGAUUACAUUAUUUUUAUAUUUG
rnacentral:rRNA from 1 species